rnacentral:rRNA from 1 species
AGAGUUGAUCAUGGCUCAGACGACGCUGCGGCGCGCCUAACACAUGCAAGUCGAACGGAGAAAGAAACAGCUUGCUGGAUCUUUCUUAGUGGCGGACGGGUGAGUAACACGUGAGCAACCUGCCCUUCAGAGUGGAAUAACGUUUGGAAACGAACGCUAAUACCGCAUAACACCAUUGGAUGGCAUCAUCUGGUGGUCAAAGAUUUAUCGCUGAGGGAUGGGCUCGCGUCCGAUUAGGUAGUUGGUGAGAUAACAGCCCACCAAGCCGACGAUCGGUAGCCGGACUGAGAGGUUGAACGGCCACAUUGGGACUGAGACACGGCCCAGACUCCUACGGGAGGCAGCAGUGGGGGAUAUUGCACAAUGGGGGAAACCCUGAUGCAGCGACGCCGCGUGAGGGAAGACGGUUUUCGGAUUGUAAACCUCUGUCUUUGGGGACGAAGAAAUGACGGUACCCAAGGAGGAAGCCACGGCUAACUACGUGCCAGCAGCCGCGGUAAUACGUAGGUGGCAAGCGUUGUCCGGAAUUACUGGGUGUAAAGGGAGCGUAGGCGGGAAAGCAAGUUGAAUGUUUAAACUAUCGGCUCAACCGGUAGUCGCGUUCAAAACUGCUUUUCUUGAGUGGAGUAGAGGCAGGCGGAAUUCCUAGUGUAGCGGUGAAAUGCGUAGAUAUUAGGAGGAACACCAGUGGCGAAGGCGGCCUGCUGGGCUCUAACUGACGCUGAGGCUCGAAAGCGUGGGUAGCAACAGGAUUAGAUACCCUGGUAGUCCACGCUGUAAACGCCUUUCUAGGUGUGGGUKGWCUGACCCCAUCCGACCGGAGWAACACAAU